UAAGAAAAUAUCGAAAAUAUCAAGUAUCGCGAUAUUUUGUUUAUGAUACUGUAUCGAUUCUCAAAAACACUGUAUCAAUUUUUAAUUGAUAGUUUACGUGCAAAAAUUUGUGGCUCAGAUUGCACCAAAAGUAGUGCUAAGAUGUUGAGUGUUAAAGGGACUGUGAUAAGUUUACUUUUUUUUUUAACUCAGAUUUUAUUAAUUUGGCGAUGUGUUCUUUAUACUAUGACACUUUUACUAAAAUUAGAUUUAAAAGAAUCAAAAUAUAUCGUCUUGUUUACAGUAUCACAAUAUAUUGAAUCGUAACCCCUGUAUCAUGAUACCUAUCGUAUCGCCAGGUUCUUGCCAAUACCGUAGACUGUAUAUAAGAAGUGGACGUAGUCACUGUGACAUCACCAU